rnacentral:rRNA from 1 species
UACGUAGGGGGCAAGCGUUGUCCGGAAUCAUUGGGCGUAAAGGGCGCGUAGGCGGCCUGCUAAGUCAUACGUGAAAUCCCUCGGCUCAACCGAGGAACUGCGUCUGAUACUGGUUGGCUUGAAUUCGGGAGAGGGAUGCGGAAUUCCAGGUGGUAGCGGUGAAAUGCGUAGAUAUCUGGAGGAACACCGGUGGCGAAGGCGGCAUCCUGGACCGAGAUUGACGCGUGAUGCGCGAAAGCCAGGGGAGCAAACGGG